AAACAAAGGACGUAGUGAAUCUGGCACCAUAAGUUACCAGGCCAUCUGCCGAUUUUUUUUCUUCUUCGAGGGUACACCACCAUUACACCGAUCCACAGACAGGCAUGGUAGAAUGUUAAAAAUCGGUGAAAAUAGGGACAACAAUCGAGUUGGAUUGACGCGUUUGACCGAGUGAAGUCGAUGCUGAGGGCAGGAUAAUUUAUAGAAGAAUUUUCACCCAUAUUUUUAUCAGCAUGUCUGCAGGGAAGAAAAAAGGUCGUCAGAGUUGGACAUCAGAAGACUGGGAUGCAGAAUUCAAAGCAGCGAGCCAGAAACUUGCUCAAGACCUAGGACUCGAUCAACCCAAGCAAAAACGCAAAAAGGAUUCAGUGUGGGUCUAUAAUAGACCAGAUCCUGAAACUGGGCUUAUCAAAAAAAGGUCAAAAGAGAGAAAA